rnacentral:rRNA from 1 species
CAGCAGCCGCGGUAAUACGAAGGGUGCAAGCGUUAAUCGGAAUUACUGGGCGUAAAGCGUGCGUAGGCGGUGAGUUAAGUCUGCUGUGAAAUCCCCGGGCUCAACCUGGGAAUGGCAGUGGAUACUGGCUCGCUAGAGUGUGUCAGAGGAUGGUGGAAUUCCCGGUGUAGCGGUGAAAUGCGUAGAGAUCGGGAGGAACACCGAUGGCGAAGGCAAUCCCCUGGACCUGUACUGACGCUCAUGCACGAAAGCGUGGGGAGCAAACAGGAUUAGAUACCCCGGUAGUCCCUGUCUCUUAUAU